rnacentral:rRNA from 1 species
CAGUCGCCACGGGAAUACGUAGGGUGCAAGCGUUAAUCGGAAUUACUGGGCGUAAAGCGUGCGCAGGCGGUCCGCUAAGACAGAUGUGAAAUCCCCGGGCUUAACCUGGGAACUGCAUUUGUGACUGGCGGGCUAGAGUAUGGCAGAGGGGGGUAGAAUUCCACGUGUAGCAGUGAAAUGCGUAGAGAUGUGGAGGAAUACCGAUGGCGAAGGCAGCCCCCUGGGCCAAUACUGACGCUCAUGCACGAAAGCGUGGGGAGCAAACAGGAUUAGAUACCCCCGUAGUCCCUGUCUCUUAUAC